GUGGGGAAUAUUGGACAAUGGGCGAAAGCCUGAUCCAGCCAUGCCGCGUGUGUGAAGAAGGUCUUCGGAUUGUAAAGCACUUUAAGUUGGGAGGAAGGGCAGUAAGUUAAUACCUUGCUGUUUUGACGUUACCGACAGAAUAAGCACCGGCUAACUUCGUGCCAGCAGCCGCGGUAAUACGAAGGGUGCAAGCGUUAAUCGGAAUUACUGGGCGUAAAGCGCGCGUAGGUGGUUCAGCAAGUUGAAGGGGAAAUCCCCGGGCUCAACCUGGGAAAUGCCUCAAAAACUACGGAGCUAGAGUACGGUAGAGGGUAGUGGAAUUUCCUGUGUAGCGGUGAAAUGCGUAGAUAUAGGAAGGAACACCAGUGGCGAAGGCGACUACCUGGACUGAUACUGACACUGAGGUGCGAAAGCGUGGGGAGCAAACAGGAUUAGAUACCCGGGUAGUCC
rnacentral:rRNA from 1 species